rnacentral:rRNA from 1 species
GACGAACGCUGGCGGCGUGCUUAACACAUGCAAGUCGAACGGAAAGGCCCCUUUGGGGGUACUCGAGUGGCGAACGGGUGAGUAACACGUGAGUAACCUGCCCUUGACUUCGGGAUAACUUCAGGAAACUGGGGCUAAUACCGGAUAGGAAUCCUUGCUGCAUGGUGGGGGUUGGAAAGCUUCGGCGGUUUUGGAUGGACUCGCGGCUUAUCAGCUUGUUGGUGGGGUAGUGGCUUACCAAGGCUUUGACGGGUAGCCGGCCUGAGAGGGCGACCGGCCACAUUGUGACUGAGAUACGGCCCAGACUCCUACGGGAGGCAGCAGUGGGGAAUAUUGCACAAUGGGCGGAAGCCUGAUGCAGCAACGCCGCGUGCGGGAUGACGGCCUUCGGGUUGUAAACCGCUUUCAGCAGGGGCGAAGCUUGCGGUGACGGUACCUGCAGAAGAAGCACCGGCUAACUACGUG